rnacentral:rRNA from 1 species
GACCAACGCUGGCGGCGUGCUUAACACAUGCAAGUCGAACGGAAAGGCCCUGCUUUUGUGGGGUGCUCGAGUGGCGAACGGGUGAGUAACACGUGAGUAACCUGCCCUUGACUUUGGGAUAACUUCAGGAAACUGGGGCUAAUACCGGAUAGGAGCUCCUGCUGCAUGGUGGGGGUUGGAAAGUUUCGGCGGUUGGGGAUGGACUCGCGGCUUAUCAGCUUGUUGGUGGGGUAGUGGCUUACCAAGGCUUUGACGGGUAGCCGGCCUGAGAGGGUGACCGGCCACAUUGGGACUGAGAUACGGCCCAGACUCCUACGGGAGGCAGCAGUGGGGAAUAUUGCACAAUGGGCGGAAGCCUGAUGCAGCAACGCCGCGUGCGGGAUGACGGCCUUCGGGUUGUAAACCGCUUUCGCCUGUGACGAAGCGUGAGUGACGGUAAUGGUUAAAGAAGCACCGGCUAACUACGUG